rnacentral:rRNA from 1 species
UACGGAGGAUGCAAGCGUUAUCCGGAAUGAUUGGGCGUAAAGCGUCCGCAGGUGGCGAUGUAAGUCUGCUGUUAAAGAGUGAGGCUCAACCUCAUAAGAGCAGUGGAAACUACAUAGCUAGAGUACGUUCGGGGCAGAGGGAAUUCCUGGUGUAGUGGUGAAAUGCGUAGAGAUCAGGAAGAACACCAGUGGCGAAGGCGCUCUGCUAGGCCGUAACUGACACUGAGGGACGAAAGCUAGGGGAGCGAAUGGG